UUUAUGGAGAGUUUGAUCCUGGCUCAGGAUGAACGCUGGCGGCGUGCCUAAUACAUGCAAGUCGAGCGAACGGACGAGAAGCUUGCUUCUCUGAUGUUAGCGGCGGACGGGUGAGUAACACGUGGAUAACCUACCUAUAAGACUGGGAUAACUUCGGGAAACCGGAGCUAAUACCGGAUAAUAUUUUGAACCGCAUGGUUCAAAAGUGAAAGACGGUCUUGCUGUCACUUAUAGAUGGAUCCGCGCUGCAUUAGCUAGUUGGUAAGGUAACGGCUUACCAAGGCAACGAUGCAUAGCCGACCUGAGAGGGUGAUCGGCCACACUGGAACUGAGACACGGUCCAGACUCCUACGGGAGGCAGCAGUAGGGAAUCUUCCGCAAUGGGCGAAAGCCUGACGGAGCAACGCCGCGUGAGUGAUGAAGGUCUUCGGAUCGUAAAACUCUGUUAUUAGGGAAGAACAUAUGUGUAAGUAACUGUGCACAUCUUGACGGUACCUAAUCAGAAAGCCACGGCUAACUACGUGCCAGCAGCCGCGGUAAUACGUAGGUGGCAAGCGUUAUCCGGAAUUAUUGGGCGUAAAGCGCGCGUAGGCGGUUUUUUAAGUCUGAUGUGAAAGCCCACGGCUCAACCGUGGAGGGUCAUUGGAAACUGGAAAACUUGAGUGCAGAAGAGGAAAGUGGAAUUCCAUGUGUAGCGGUGAAAUGCGCAGAGAUAUGGAGGAACACCAGUGGCGAAGGCGACUUUCUGGUCUGUAACUGACGCUGAUGUGCGAAAGCGUGGGGAUCAAACAGGAUUAGAUACCCUGGUAGUCCACGCCGUAAACGAUGAGUGCUAAGUGUUAGGGGGUUUCCGCCCCUUAGUGCUGCAGCUAACGCAUUAAGCACUCCGCCUGGGGAGUACGACCGCAAGGUUGAAACUCAAAGGAAUUGACGGGGACCCGCACAAGCGGUGGAGCAUGUGGUUUAAUUCGAAGCAACGCGAAGAACCUUACCAAAUCUUGACAUCCUUUGACAACUCUAGAGAUAGAGCUUUCCCCUUCGGGGGACAAAGUGACAGGUGGUGCAUGGUUGUCGUCAGCUCGUGUCGUGAGAUGUUGGGUUAAGUCCCGCAACGAGCGCAACCCUUAAGCUUAGUUGCCAUCAUUAAGUUGGGCACUCUAAGUUGACUGCCGGUGACAAACCGGAGGAAGGUGGGGAUGACGUCAAAUCAUCAUGCCCCUUAUGAUUUGGGCUACACACGUGCUACAAUGGACAAUACAAAGGGCAGCGAAACCGCGAGGUCAAGCAAAUCCCAUAAAGUUGUUCUCAGUUC
rnacentral:rRNA from 1 species